GUACUGAAGAUUUUCAGAGAACGCAGUGCACCGGGAAGACUGAUGACGACUGUGGGAAGAAAAGCAGCCGAACUUUAGAGCGUGCCCUGAAGCCGAGGUCCCCUGUCCCAAACCAGCUGAAAGCAGCCACAGAAUGACCCGAGGUCAGGUUUAACCCGGUUAAGCCGAGUGGCUGGUUUAACUACUUCUUGCAAUCGUGUGUUGACUUCUCCUGAAGUACUUGUCCCAGUGCAGGAGGCAUCGGCUACAGCACGGAGUGCUCAGAAGGACACAGUCACAGUUACCGUUACCUGAGACGGCUCUGGCGAGCGGAGGCGGAGCGGUCCGCGGGGCAGCUGCAGCCCUGGCCGGAGCGCUGCCACUUCCCGAGCGGAAGCAACAGAUGGCUGAUCCUGGCUGUGCUGGCACCGCCUUCCAACCACGGUGGAAACGAUCCGCCAAAGGAGGCAAACCCGGAGUCCUCCGUAGCCGCUGGCCGUCCCUGUUAGAGGCGCAGCGUGAAGCCUCAGCUCGGCUGUGGCAGAGGCGUGGCCAGAGGGCGCAGACCACCGCUUCCCCUCCUCGGUCUAGACACCGAGCUGCCCGCGCUGAGCAGAGAGCCGCCCCUGCAGAGACGCGUGUACCCAGGGGAGGCACGGCCCGCACUGCCCGAAGAGCCAUUCCCGCGGUGGAAGCUGUCGGAACAGCUCUGCGCUGGGAAGGAGAUGGCCCUGGAGGUCAACGAGACUUAAAGUCCUGGAGACCUCACCGAGCCACGUGCCGUCUUCCUCAGAUGCCAUCCUUCUCGUCAAAGCUGAUCCAUUUUUCCUGUCCGGCUUGUAUCUAUGCCUCGUGAGUCCGGCGUUACUGAAUCUCGCAGAUGAACAGCAGCGGCGAAGACCUGUGCGAGGCCAGGGAGGCGAGCAGGAACAGGACGUCACGCUGGGCGUUUGCUGAUGGGGUGUGUGGGCGUCUCCCAGUUCUCUCAGUGGGUCUACACUGACCCUGUGCGUCUACACUGAUCAAGGACAUUCCCCUAAAUCUCCUCUGACCUGGGAUGUGUCCGUAGUGCCACAGCUGUGUUAGUCCUGACCUGGAAUCAAACUUCCCCAGAAGAGUGAACUCUGAACAUCGAUGUCUCUCUAAUACCUCACGUGAUCUCCUCCGACCUGAGACCCCCAGCUCUCCAGGCUUUUCUGCACUGACCUAGGAUGUCCUAAUUCCCCAGGUGGUCCGCCUUGCCACGUGGAUGACUCUAAUUUGCCAUGUAUGUCCACACGUACCGAGGAUCUAAUCCUGCAGGUGUCUCUGUGCGGAGGCGGCAUGUCUCCGUUUCAUAGAUGUGUCUACACCAGCCUGGAUUGUCUACUAAUUACCCACGUGUCCACCAGAAGUGGGAGACCGGUUACGUCCACACUGAGCGUCUUCAUGCCCCAAGCGUGUCAGCACUAGCCUGACUUGGUAGGUUCCCAGCUGUGUCUCCCUCGACACUGCAUGUCCUUCUGAUCCUGCAGGUGUGGCUACACUAACCUGGGAGUUUCCCUCAUCCCCUGACGUCUACACCUGACUGCUGUGCCGACCUGCUAUGCCAGGUGUAUCUAGAAUGUGUCCCUAGUUACCAAGGUGCGUCUCUAGUUCAGUGAUGGCUAUUUUCCCCCCGGGUAAUCUGCCUUGACCAAAGCCGUGUCCACAAUGACCGGAGAUGUCUCCCUGUUUCUCCAGGGACAAAAGGACCAAGAGAGAGAACCACAAACAGCUACACCCGACAACCAGAUCCCUCCAUGAAGUGGACAACUUUCUAGAACACGCAAACCACAACGGACUCAAGAGGAAAUAGGAAAUCUGAUGAGACCGGCAACGAGGGAAGAGACUGAAUCGGCGACGAAUACGUCUGAGAAAAGGCUCAGGACCACAGGGCUUCCCCGUGAACACACGACAUGUUAGAAAGUGGCUGCGGUGCCCGCCGACCUGCUGCACGGGUGUCUGCACUUCUGACAUCAGCUGCCCGGGUCUCUUACCCCCGCCUCCCCCUCCCUCCGCCCAAAGCCCAGGAACCAGCCCGGCCUCUGCGGCUGCACGUGCGCUCGGGCCAGCCUGCGCGUCGUGCACGGGCACCUGCCAACCCGAGGCCCGCGCCGGCCUCCGGAGAGAUGUACCCCGGAGCAGCCACGGGGGCGCGUACCGACAGCGGGGGCCCUGCAGCUCCCGGCACACCCACGGUAAUUCCUGGCACUUGCUGCACACCUGGCCCCAGCCAGUAGUUCACGUUUGCACCUGGUCCCAAAACCACACACGCCCAGCUGUGCCCACGGCCGGUGUCCACACCACCGCUCCAGCCAGCACCGCCUUCGCCCUGGGCCCAGCAGAUACGCCCCAAGGCGGCGCUGAGGACCUACAGGCCUUACGGCAUCGGUGACACACACCCCCCGGCAACACUUACUGAGAAUCACGCAGCUGUCGAGCUGUGGACCCCGGUGACAUACACGCCGUUCUGGAGUCAGGGCCACCACACUCCCACACUGGCGCCCGACAGCCCGAGACCCAGGGUCACGGCACGUCCCACGUGCUCCUGUCUGCACGUGACGGUCUUCCCUCGCUGAAGUCCGUCGUGAAGUCUGGAGCACCGACAGCCUCUUCAAACAGAGACGCCGCGGGAGGCCACAGCGGCGACGGGGGAGCAGGGAAACACGGCUCCGACGGACAACACGCAACUCGCCCCGAAGACACAGAGACCCAGAAACUGCCCGACAAAGUCUCAGUAAUUGUUCCGCAGAUGCUCGGAGAGCUGCAAGAGAAGACGGAUACAUCAUACAAUGAAAUCAGGAAAACAACACGAGGCCGAAGAAAGAAGUUCAACAAAGAUAUAAAAAACAUUAAAAAAGACCAAACAGAAAUCUCAGAGCUGCAGAAUACCAUGACUGAAGCGAAGAAUUUAAUGAGGAACUUCCAAAUCAUCUGGACCAAGCAGAAGAAAACAUCCGUGAGCCCAGAAACAGGCCGGCUCACCCAGCAAUGCCGCCCUUCGGAAAGGAAGGCAGGACAGACCUUGCCCGACUAACAAGCUCUGGGGCGCCAUCCUCACGAGCUGCUGACGAGAAAUGCGGAAAGGAGCUCGUCAGACGCAACAAAACAACGCUACCCAGUAACGUGGAAGACAGGGAAGAGGAACCGCACACCGGCAGAGGCAGGGCUGGUCAGACGUGGAUACGCCAGUGCAGCAAGGUGGCGCUGCGUGCUUCCACGGAACUCUGGCACGAGGGUCGGGAACACCAGUAGUAAACAGCGACAGCUACAAUGAUGUGUUAGGAGAUGCACGACAUGAAAAGAUAAAGCGUGACAUCAAAAACAUAAAAUGCAGGGGGAGGAAUACUGAGGUAGGGUUUUUGUACGCGGCCGAUGUUGUCAUCCACACACAACACGCCUGCAUCUGUAAGAGGUAUCGCACAAGCCCCAGGGUGGCCGCAAAGUCACACACGUGAGAGCAGCCACACACAAGAUAAAGAGAAGGGACGGGCGCCUGGGUGGCUCAGUCGUUAAGCAUCUGCCUUCAGCUCAGGUCAUGAUCUAAGGGUCCUGGGAUCGAGCCCCGAGUCGGGCUCCCUGCUCAGCGGG